GAUCCAUUAUAAGCUGUGUGUCAUUCCGUUUCCUUUAAAAACAAGUAAAAACGCAGUUCAAAAGUAUAUUAUAUAAACAAGAAAAAUACAAAACACUUCAAGGCUUCAUCUAGUCAAUUGAACAGAUAAGACUCUCAAGAUGAAAUGGGCAAAUUUUGUAAGAAUACUCCUCAUCCUGAUAUUCUUGAUGUCCUUCGCUUUGGGACAGUCGUGGAGACGAAGGAGUAGCGGAAACUCUAACCUUGGUAGAUGGUUUGGGGGAAGAAAAUAGGGCAUUAUUAUCGAUAUUUGUAUAUAUAUUUUUGUAAUUUUUAUUUUUCUAUCCAUCAUAUAAUCUAUUGUUGAAAACGUGAUACUUUUUUUAUUCAGUUGUAUUGUGAUAAAUAGAUAAACAAUUAAUAAAUAAAAUAAACUUAUCAUAGCUA